rnacentral:rRNA from 1 species
UACGUAGGGGGCGAGCGUUGUCCGGAAUCAUUGGGCGUAAAGCGCGUGUAGGCGGCUCGAUAAGUCCGGUGUGAAACCUUGGGGCUCAACCCCAAGCCUGCACUGGAUACUGCCGAGCUAGAGUCCGGGAGGGGAGAGCGGAAUUCCUAGUGUAGCGGUGAAAUGCGCAGAUAUUAGGAAGAACACCGGUGGCAAGGCGGCUCUCUGGAGCGGUACUGACGCUGAGACGCGAAAGCGUGGGGAGCGAACAGG